GCGAGGGUGGCGGAAUCGGCAUACGCGCAUGUUUGAGGUGCAUGUGGUUUUUACCUUGAGGGUUCAAGUCCCUUUCCUCGCACCA
rnacentral:tRNA from 3 species